rnacentral:lncRNA from 1 species
UCUGCAUCAAUCAACAUUUCAUAUAUAAUAUCAGUACAAAAUACUAAUACUAAAAAUAUAUAUAUGCAUAAGUAACUUACCUACUGUGAAAAACAAUACUACAAAGCCAUGAGUUGAAUGAGAGAACAUAGAUCUACCUCCAAAUCCAUCAAUAACUCUUAAGAACACCAAAAAAUGAUGUAAUUAGAAAUUAGAAAUUAUAGCACAACCUGCCGAAUAGGGAACUUAGAUUCACAAUAAAGAAAAUAACCUUUCAUAAUAAAAACAAUAGUAAUCAAAAGACAAAAUUCUUCUCGAUUCUCACUUAUGGUUAACUGGACAUGUUUCAUAAAGCUAGUUAGAAAAAAGAUAAUAGUGAGGCAAUUAGAUGAACACCGUAUAGAUGCAUAUUUAGUUCCUUUUCAAUAAAGUGAGCAUACACCUCUAAAUCAUGUUUUUUUUUUAAGAAAUAAACAAAAAUCAAUAAAUUCAAUAGAUUUCAAUAAAGACUAUAGUCAUAAAGAAAAUAAGUUAAAAUAAAAUACCUCAUAAGCAAGUGUUAUGCUCUUUGUCGUAUAGUUAUAAAUAACUCCUGCAAAUAAUUCCUUUCUCUUCUUCUCCAGCUCCUGUUGCAGAAAGAACGAUUAGAAAAUCGAAUAACCAACAUCCAUAAUUUUACCAAUGCAAAACCAAAAGCAAACUCACCAUGAUGGUAUGAUAGUCCUUUGUCAUAUGGAUGUAGGAUCCCUUCAUAAACCUUCAAUCAUGCAACAUGUAACCAAAUAUGAGAGUUCAUUUUUUCUGGCUUAUAAAUAAUGGAGCAAUUAGCGUAAAAAAAAAAUAAUGGAGCAAUUAAACUAACAAAUAAAACUUUCACAAAACAAACCAUCCAACCAAAACUUCAUUAAAAAAAAACACCAACAAAUAAUCAGCAAUGGGUAUUUUGUAGGUUCUAACAAUGAAAACCAUAAUCAAAACUCAUAAAAUCCAAGGCCUAGAAGGAGAUAGGGACAUCAAAUCUCAUAUGAAUGAGAAUGUUGAAAACAUAUAUGAAGAAACUCUUAUUUCUUAAGCUUAUAACUUCAAUGUGAAGGUUUACACUAUACUACCAAUGAAAUUUUUCUAGUUCCCUUGCAUGUACCACAUGUAGUCUUUAACUUAAAAAUGCUAAUUUGUACAUAUAAUAAAUCAUAGUUUUCUUUAACUUAAAUCAUAGUCUAGGGAAAUAAUUAGGAAGUAAUAGAAAAAUAAUAUUGAAGCUUUAAGCAACAUCUUAUAGUACCUGGACAUAGUCAUGCAUACAAUGCUAAACUGGACAUUAAAUCAAUCUCCAUAGAAAUUCCCUUCAAGCCAUAGACUAAAAUUGAAAUGAAAAUCAGAUAUUAGACAAUUCAAUCAUUAUUUCAUUUUGACUAUUGAAAAACCAGAAUAAUCCAAGCAUUCUAGCAGAUUCUCUAUUGUUUUCUUCUAAACCAUACCCCAUUAUUUUCUUGAAUUGGUCUAACAUCUUCAAUAUUUAGAAUUCAAACUCUGGCAAAUUUCAAGAAGUGAAACCNNN